rnacentral:rRNA from 1 species
CCUACGGGAGACUGCAGUGAGGAAUAUUGGUCAAUGGUCGGGAGACUGAACCAGCCAAGCCGCGUGAGGGAUGAAGGUACAGAGUAUCGUAAACCUCUUUUGUCAGGGAACAAAGGCGGGGACGUGUCCCCGGAUGAGUGUACCUGAAGAAAAAGCAUCGGCAAACUCCGUGCCAGCAGCCGCGGUAAUACGGAGGUGGCAAGCGUUAUCCGGAUUUAUGGGGUUAAAGGGGUGCGCAGGCGGUCUGUUAAGUCAGCGGUAAAAGCCCGGGGCUCAACCCCGGCCGGCCGUGGAAACUGGCAGUCUCGAGUGGGAGAGAGGUAUGCGGAAUGCGCGGUGUAGCGGUGAAAUGCAUAGAUAUCGCGCAGAACUCCGAUUGCGAAGGCAGCAUGCCGGCUCCACACUGACGCUGAGGCACGAAAGCGUGGGUAUCGAACAGGAUUAGAUACCCUAGUAGUC